rnacentral:rRNA from 1 species
UACGAAGGGGGCUAGCGUUGCUCGGAAUGACUGGGCGUAAAGGGCGCGUAGGCGGAUGGCUUAGUCAGGUGUGAAAUUCCUGGGCUUAACCUGGGGGCUGCAUUUGAGACGGGUUGUCUAGAGUUUGGCAGAGGGUCGUGGAAUUCCCAGUGUAGAGGUGAAAUUCGUAGAUAUUGGGAAGAACACCGGUGGCGAAGGCGGCGACCUGGUCCUUGACUGACGCUGAGGCGCGAAAGCGUGGGGAGCAAACAGG